rnacentral:tRNA from 2 species
ACGGGUGUAGCUCAAUGGAGAGCGCCGGAUUCCAAAUCCGGAGGUUGGGGGAACAGAGCCUUCCACCCGUGCCA